AGUCUCCAAUCAAUGCAUGAUUUUGGGAUGUGGGAGGAAACCGGAGUGCCCGGAGAAAACCCACGCAGGCACGGGGAGAACAUGCAAACUCCACACAGGCGGGGCCGGGGAUUGAACCCGGGUCCUCAGAACUGUGAGGCUGACGCUCUAACCAGUCGUCCACCGUGCCGACCUCGAAUUAUAGAGGAAGAAGAAUUAUAAUUUGUAUGUGUCAUGCUUUUUUUUGUUUGUUUGUUUCUCAAAAUGAGUACAUGCCUGAUUGUUUCCAUGAGGUUUCUGAAGUCGAGGAAACUCUACAAUUGUCUGAAGUGCACCACUUGGCUUCUUACAGCAAGGGGAGCCAGAGACCCACGACAGUUUUACUUUGCACCCAUAGAGAAAUUGAGCAGAAUAUAAGAUUAUCAAACACAUACCCAUCUACUGCUUAUGUUUCUGUACAUAAAAUUGCUGUGGUUUGAAGAAAUUAUGUGAGUAUCUUCUUCCAGCCAAGGUUUUCCUUUUCAUGUGCACAAUAUUUUAUAAGGUUACAUCUGGUGACAAGGUCACUGAUGGUGUAGUGGUGCACUCGCCUGAUUUUGGUGUGGGCAGCGUGGGAUCAGUUCCCACUCAGUGACGGUGUGAAUGUGAGUGCGAAUGGUUGUCCGUGUCUAUAUGUGCCCUGCGACUGACUGGCGACCAGUUCAGGGUGUAGUCCGUCUUUCGCCCGAAGUCAGCUGGGAUAGGCUCCAGUGCCCCGUGACCCUAACCAGGAUAAGCGGUGUUGAAAAUGGAAUGGAUCUGGUGAUAAGUGAUUGAGCGAAUCAGUCAGCGAGUCAGUGCAGUAUUUGCACAGCAUUGACAUGGCGCACUUGCAUAGUGUUGUCGUGUGUAAUGUUUGAUUGCUAAAAAAAGGGAGGAAAAGCUGUCAAAUCUCAAUUAUCUGCCCCUUUUUUAAGUUUGGCAACUUCUUCAGUUCCAUGAGCGCCUAAAAUACAAUUUACAGCCACCCCAUGAAUCAAAAUCACCAAAGAGGACCUUGAAACUAACUACAAAAAUGGUAAAGAAUAGGGGCGUGCAGACAUUUGGAGGAGCAGGUGCUCAAAGUUAAAGGGGAGGCUGUUUUUGUUUUGAAUGAAACACAAUUGAGAAAUUGAUUUUAGAAGGUGGUCCACCUCACAUUCUCUAUCCACGGCAUAUAUUUGCUUCUAUCCCAUCAAUUAAUUUGUAAUUAUAUAGAUUUAGUUUUUUACAGUGUAAAGUUAGACACAUUUAUGAAGCACCUUCUGCAGGACAAUAAAUAAAAUAUCUCAACAAUACAUGCACAACACUCUUGAUCAUGAUUGAAUUUUUUAAAAAUAAAAAUAAAAUAAACAAAGGGCAUAAGGGGCGGGACAUAAAUAUAUGUAUAUUUGUUGUUGUUGUUGUUGUUUUUGAAAGUUUGGUACCAACAUGUACACAACUUGAGCCAGGAGAACUUUUGAGUACUGAACAAUGUAUACAGGUCCCACUUUUGAGGAGGUUCAAUUUUCAGACAAUUUGUGCUUGGCCAGUUUUUCAAGUACAUGGCUGGCACAAAAACAAACAAACAAACAAAGAAAAAAAAACAGCCCCAAAUCCUGCCAAACCCACAUGACAUCAAGUCCCAUUUUUUUUUACAUUUUUCCACACAUUUUGUGCGUGGGGACACAUUUGAGUAUACACAAAAUGGAUGCUCAUAUGUGCUUCAAUGAGGUGCUCUGCAAUCCACGUGGCUCAAGAGCUCCAAAUUAGCAUGAGGGCGAGAGAGCCAAUGAUUGCUGUGAUGACAGCACUCAAAAUCUGACCAAUCAGAGGAACGCAUUUUGCACCGGCCGGAUCUGACAGACAAAUACCUUUUCUUUCUUUCUGAUGCAAAUGAUAAUUCACCAAUGUGUCAGACCACUGCAGUGUAGUGCCAACGACUGGCAAGGAGCACUUCCUCAUUGUCAAAAAUUAUAUUUUUUUAGUCCUAAGUAUUGGUGGCUGGUAUUGGCAGCCUUUACGAAUACCUGAUUCCUUAAAUAAGGCUGUAUUGGCCCAAUACUGAUACCUGGUAUCGGUACUCGCUCAUCCGUAGUUUUAAUAGCCUGAAUUAUGCUAUGUUUUUACUACCAGUCCAUGACCCACCCAAAAUCAGGAUUGAGCGAGAUUGGGUGGGAGUGGGCCUCCAAAUAAAAUUUCGCUUAGGGCCCCAAUUUGGUCAGGGGCAGCCCUACCUAAGUGAGAGACCUGGUAAGACCCAAAAUGGAAUCAAAUCCCAAUUUUGGAGGUUAGAUUAUUACUAACUUUAACUAAAUAAGAAAUUAUGAAAAAAGGGGUACAAAUAGAAAAUAUAGUUUUCUGAAGACACAUUUUACAAAGACUGACUUGUUUUAAUGGGCAGCACAGACACUUUGUUGUGUGGGUUUUCUCCCGGUACUCUGGUACUAAGGUCUGCAAUUGAUGGAGAUCUUGGUAACAGGAGCCAGCUAGGCUAUGCGAAUGUAUGCAGUGUUGGCGUCAUGGGGGGGCCAUGAGCAGGCAAUGCUCCCCAAAUGACUUAAAGUUUUUUUUCUGGGGGGGCAUGAGCAGGCUCGACUCUGAGCCCCUCCCGGAUGACUGAGCUUCUCACGCUAUCUCUAAGGGAGAGCCUGGACACCCUGAGGAGGAAAGUCAUUUCGGCCGCUUGUAUCCACGAUCUUGUUCUUUGGACCCACAGCUCGUGACCAUAAGUGAUAGUAGGAAUGUAGAUCGACCAGUAAAUUGAGAGCUUUGCAUUUUGGGUCAGCUCCUUCUCCACGACAGACUGAUACAUCACUGCAGACGCUGCACCGAUCCGCCUGUCGAUCUCCCGCUCCAUUCUUCCCUCAUUCGUAAACAAGACCCCAAGAUACUUGAACUCCUCCACUUGGUGCAGAAUCUCUUCCCUGACCCGGAGAGGCAGCAGUCAAUAGAAAAUGAUAAAUGUGUGAAUCAUUAAUCUGCAGAAUGGCGCGCAGUUGGGUCGAACAACAUCUCAAACCGAUUUGCAGAGCAAAUGGCCUGUAACAUUUGCCACGCUCCCAAACAUUGAAGUGAAACUGAUGAUUGGAGGACAUAGUGUCUUCUUGUAGAACAAAAGCCUGCUUGUAAAACUGAAUAAAUGAUGUUACAUAUGUGUAAGCUUUUUGUUUGCAGUUGUACAUUACAGCGAGUCCACCGUGAUCGAUGUUGACAUGUUGAUGAAACGUUGUCCCGAGUGACAAACCUUGACAUUGACUCCAUUGACUCCAUGUGAUUCAUACUUGUCACUCAACUCGUGUUCCAAAGGAAGAAAAGAUGAAGCCGCGUAUUUCCUGAUUCCAAGUGACCCCCGAGGUACGAACCUUGACAGGAUUACGAGGCUUUCCCCAAAUCAAUGGUAUGAACUCUCAGAAGUCAGCUAAAGGUGGCUUAAAUUGACUGGCUGUCAAGACUAAACGCUGGAAAAUCUAAUUGGGGGGGGGUGCAGCUUCGUACACAAAAUCAGUGACAAAGUUGACAGUCGGUGCCAGAUGUUGUUUCUGUUCAUUGGGUUUUGAUGAAUGUUUGAAAAUAUCUACAAAAACACCUCAUUAGGGUUGAUGCUGAUGAGAAAAACAAGUUUGAAACCUGCCACAUUACAACAUGAUCAUAAUCCAUUUCACCAAUGUUACAACAAAGUUUGAUUCAUAUUCCAGCCAUCCAUAUGCUGCCCUGUUAUGCUGCUUUGAACAUUAAAUUCACCGUGUGCUAUGGUGUAAUGUAAUGUGUUAUAACUACAGUAGUUUAUUGUAUAUGUAUUUGUAUUUGCUUUUAUUUUACACUGCUGUCUACUGCCAGGUUGGCAUUGCAAAUGAGCAUCUGUUCUCAACUUCCUUACUUGCAUAACUAAAGAGUAAUUAAUUAUCUUGUGCAGGGUAACUAGGAAACUAGAUGGCCAAGAUGCACAUACCAGAAUCAGCAGUACAAUGUGCACUAAAUUGAAUAAGUGUCAGUGUGACAAAUACUAUCAGUUUUGGAUAAAAACGUAAUUAGUUUUGGAAAAGAAUACGAUUUAGUUCGAUUUAUGUUUAACGUUACAAUCAAACUAUAUUUGAUUCGUAAAGGGGUACGACUCCUCUUUUUAUAUUCAUAAACUUAAGGAAAAGUCACGAAAACCUCUAAUCAAGCUCUUUAUUCUGGAAGGUUUGCUAUGUGGAUGAAAUAAGAGUUCUAGAUUACAACGGUUUAUUGUUGCACUCAAACACACAAAGCACACGCAGGGAGUGGAAUUUUAGAGAAAAUGUUAUUAAAUCUAAGGGGGGAAACUACAGGGGAACGAUGGAGAGGGACUGAACUACAAAGAUUACAAGCAAACAUAGAUAAAUAACAAAAUGCAGGGUGAAUGACUGAACUUGUGAUAUGAGGGUGGAAUGAGAAUGCGAGAGCUGAAAACCUCUGUGACUGUUUAGUAAGCUCAAUUAUGCACCAGUUUGUACCUAGGAAACAGCACGCUGUACUCAUGUUGCGUAGAACAGAAUUUAGGCAGGCGGGUAGCUCUUCCCGAUGAAUGGGUAAGGGUGCCGACAGGUGGAUUUGAAAAAAAAAAAAAAAAAAAGGAAGGGAAAAAAAGGAAUUCAAGAUUGCUGGUGGCCGGAGCAUUUGGCUGGUGUUGGUUGCAACAUACUCAGAGCCAACUUGCGCCGCAAUUCCUUCGUGACGGAUCUUUUAUCCAUUAGCUGCCCCACACACACAAAAGUAUAGUUUCGGGGCGCAGGCAGAGUGCUUCUGCGGUUCGCGCCCGUCAGCGCGGCGAGCAAGGUCCAAUGCGUCUCAGCGACCUCGUGGUGAGAGGUGGGGCUCCCCGCAGAAGCAAAGACAAAAAAAAAUUUAAAAUUCAAAUCUGUAUAUCAUUUAAGAAGUAUAAUUCUCCCAAGGACUCAAAUGAAUGCCAACUGCCCGUGUCAACCGUUGAGCCCUUCCAGUUCCUGGGAAUUACAGUUUCUCAGGACCUGAAGUAUGAGAUCAACAUCAACUCCAUCCUCAAAAAGGCUCAGCAGAGGAUGUACUUCCUGCAGCUUCUGAGGAAGGACGGCCUGCCACAGGAGCUGUUGAGGCCGUUCUACACAACGGUCAUCGAAUCAGUCCUGUGUUCUUCCAUCACAGUCUAGUUUGGUGCUGCGACAAAAAAGGACAAACUCAGACUGCAACGGACAGUCAGGACUGCUGAAAAGAUUGUCGGUGCCCUGCUACCUACCCUUGAGGACUUGCAUGCUGCCAGAACUAAGACAGGAGAAUGCAAAAUCCUCUUGGACCCUCCACAUCCUGGUCACCACCUCUUCCAGCUCCUUCCCUCAGCACUUCAUCCCGGAACACCUUGAUGGCACAGUGACUUACUUGAGGAUCCUGUUUGUGGGCUUCAGCUCUGCAUUUGACAUCGCCAUCCCUGAACUCCUCUCCGCCAAGCUUCUCCAGCUCAGCAUUUCUCCUGCCAUCUGCCAGUAGAUUUACAACUUCCUGACAGGCAGGACACAGCAGGCGAGGCUAGGGGGAACCCCCUCAUCCACACGCACCGUUAACACCAGGGCCCCAUAAGGACGUGUCGUCUUCUCCUUUUACACAAACGACUGCACCUCAAAGCAUCCAGCUGACAAACCCCUGAAGUUUUCAGACAACACAACAGCCAUCUGCCUCAUCAACGACAGCAAUGAGUUUGACAGGAAGUGAAGCUGCCUGGUGUCCUGGUGCAGCCAUCACAACAUGGAGCUAAACACGCUCAAGACUGUACAGAUGAUUGUGGACUUCAGGAAACAUCUUUUUCAUCCAAAAGUGUUCCAUAGGGUUGAGGUCAGGAUUGUGCAGGCCAAUCAAGUUCAUCAUAUCAGAUUCUCUCAUCCAUGUCUUUAUGGACUUUGCUUCAUGCACCAGUGCACAGAUAUAUUGGAGCAGGAUUUUAUUUGUAUUUUAUUUUUGAGUUUUAGAUUUUGUCCGGUUUAUAGAUAAAUAUUGAUUCCGAACUGCUUUAGAUGAUGUAUCUGGUACAUUUGCCUGCUUGUUCAUUUCAGUAUCUUCCUCCCCUGGCUCUCCAUCCACCUUCUUAGUCGUAGUGAUUUUCUAUUUGUUUUUCCCAUCGACCGUUUGUCAAGUAGCCUUUUGUUAUUUGUAGCUAUUCACAUUUAUGUGUGAAUAGCCUCUGAAACUUGCUCCAUUUGUUUUGGUUUGCUUUUUGGAAUUGUCCAGUAGUAUAUGGAGGGGAUGAUGGCUGGUUAAUUUCCAUUAAACAGUGUUGGCCCCUAAAAACAGGAUUUUAGAAAGACAAGAAAUAAGGGGUGUAAAUUGUUAUAUAAUUCUUGAUGCAUGUCCUAGGGCAGGGGUGGCCAACUAGUCAGAGACUAAGAGCCACUUUUUUUCCUGUGUUACUGCAAAGAGCCACAUACACGGGUACACAUGAACAUCAUCUUUUAAUCAUGUAUGCACGCAUACACAGACCUCUGCUCAGCCAGAUCUAAUGAAAAUAACCACACCAACAUGAUAAUAUCAGUAAUUUUCAACAGUUAACAUUGUGUCUCAUACACACAAACUCUCAGUUCAAGCAAGUCCACAAACAAUAAAAGAAUAAUUUUCAAUAACAUCUUUCUCUUACUAUGCUGCUUAGUGAGACUUCUGGCAUUCCUUAUCUUGAACAAUCCUCUUCAAAUCUGGCUUGUAUUCUGUUGUUGCCACUCUAAGCAAUUCUUUCAAAUGAGUGUCAGUCAGAAGAGAUCGAUGCUUUGAUUUCACAUGUUUCAGGGUAGAAAACACAGACUCGCAGACGUACGUUGACCCAAACAUGGACAGUAUCUUAAGCGCAGCUCGUUUGAUGUUGGGGUAUUUUUCAAUUGGCACACUUUUCCAGAACUCAACGGUCCCUUCCCUUAAAACAGUUUUCAGUUGAUCCUCCUCACAAAGGUCGAUCAUCUCCAACUAAGCCGCAGCCUCAUCUGUGACGAGCGGGGCUUUCAAACAGUCUGGCUUCCAAGCCAUCUGAUAUGAUGCAAGCGUUACGGUCUCUGAGUGUUUUGUAAUUUUUUUGAAAAACUGCACCUGCUUUUCAAAGCGACCAACUUGUUCUUGCGAAGUUCAGUCCCUUUUGGAAAUUCCUGUUCGAUGUUAGGGUGGAGUGAGCUGAAGAUUUGAAGCUUUGAAAUGCGCUAAUGCUGCGUGACAUAUAAGGCAGAUCGGCUUGCCAUUACGUUUAACAAAAAAAUAUAAACUCUCCCACUCUGGCAAAAACCUCCUGUGUUCUUCUUCAUAUUUUCGUUUGGAUGUGCUUUUUUUCCCUGCCAUUUCAAGAGGUAACUUGUCGGAAAUUGUUUACAACACAAAUGAUGUCACACCAAAGAUUCUCUCGUCGCUCGUUUGACGUCACUCAAACAGGCUUACAUGGUCAGUGUGCCAUCUAGCUGUAGGGGAGUGAAUGACAGCGCCAGCCAAGAAUUUUUGACGCAUGUCAUGUUACAGCUCCUGAAGAGCCGCAUGAAACUAGUUAAAGAGCCGCAUGAGGCUCGCGAGCCGCGGGUUGGCCACCCCUGUCCUAGGGCAUAUUGAUAAGGAUUUUACAUGGUGCCCUGUGGUAGGGACCCAUUUUUAAGGGAGAUUAGCUCAAAUGCUAACAUGCUAACAGUUAGUAUGCUAAUAUAUAGCAAGAUGUCAGUCUGAGUAUAGAAAGCGCUAAGGCAGAUUGAUAGGGAUUUUACAUUUUGCCCUGCAGGAGAUUAGCUCAAAUGCUAACAGUUGGUAUGCAAACAUAUAGCAAUAUGUCAGUCUGAGUAGAGAAAGUGCUAAAGCAGAUUGAUAAGGAUUUUACAUUUUGCUCUGCGGUAGGGAACCAUUUUUAAGGAGAUUAGCUCAAACACUAACAUGCUAACAGGACAAGAAAUAAAGCAUGUCACAGACAUAUUAAGACACCUGGGAAGUAGUUUAGCAUUAUUUUAGAAUAUGAUUAUUAUGACAUUAAACAUGCUUAUUCAUCAAAUGUGUGUCUUAAAUCAGCAGAAGCGUGGACAACUGAUCGAUACAAUGACUCAGUGGAGCUGGACCUUCAGUGGGGCCUUACCCUACCAAAUCCACCUCUUAAUAACACCACUAUCAUAUUGAAAAUACAGAAUCCACAAUUCUGUAACCCCCCCCCCCCCACACACACACACACAUGCACAAACAAACGCACUUAUGAAGAGCAUGAAACUGUGCCACAUGCCACAUUAUGCCAAAUUACUAGCUUCAUACGAAAUCCCAACUUUGCCUUCUCUCGCUCCGACUCAACGCAUUAAACGCUCACACGCUCAUUAAUUUGAGCCCAGCGACCACACACGAUUUCCUCUUUUCCAUUUCCAUACGACUUAUUUUCUUUCUUUCGUUUACCCUUAGUGUUAUUUGCUUGUUGUAGUUUGUAGUUGUGUGUUUCAUUAAAUAUACCAUAAAAUUCCA